UACAGAGGUCUCAAGCGUUGUUCGGAUUCAUUGGGCGUAAAGGGUGCGUAGGCGGCGGUGCAAGUCCGAUGUGAAAUACCGGGGCUCAACCCCGGAACGGCUCUCGAAACUGCAGGGCUUGAGUGCGGAAGAGGCAACCGGAAUUCCCAGUGUAGCGGUGAAAUGCGUAGAUAUUGGGAAGAACACCUGAGGCGAAGGCGGGUUGCUGGGCCGACACUGACGCUGAGGCGCGAAAGCCAGGGGAGCGGAACGGG
rnacentral:rRNA from 1 species